UAGGAAUAUUGGACAAUGGGCGAAAGCCUGAUCCAGCCAUGCCGCGUGAGUGAAGAAGGCCUUAGGGUUGUAAAGCUCUUUCGGCUGUGAAGAUAAUGACAGUAGCAGAAGAAGAAGCCCCGGCUAAAUUCGUGCCAGCAGCCGCGGUAAUACGAAUGGGGCGAGCGUUGUUCGGAAUCACUGGGCGUAAAGCGUACGCAGGCGGUCAUGAAAGUCAGGAGUGAAAUCCCAGGGCUUAACCCUGGAAUGGCUCUUGAAACUCCAUGACUAGAAUACUGGAGAGGUUGGCGGAAUUCCGAGUGUAGAGGUGAAAUUCGCAGAUAUUCGGAGGAACACCAAUGGCGUAGGCAGCCAACUGGACAGUUAUUGACGCUCAUGUACGAAAGCGUGGGGAUCAAAC
rnacentral:rRNA from 1 species